rnacentral:rRNA from 1 species
UACGGAGGGUGCGAGCGUUGUCCGGAAUCACUGGGCGUAAAGGGCGCGUAGGUGGCCCGUUAAGUGGCUGGUGAAAUCCCGGGGCUCAACUCCGGGGCUGCCGGUCAGACUGGCGAGCUAGAGCACGGUAGGGGCAGAUGGAAUUCCCGGUGUAGCGGUGGAAUGCGUAGAGAUCGGGAAGAAUACCAGUGGCGAAGGCGUUCUGCUGGGCCGUUGCUGACACUGAGGCGCGACAGCGUGGGGAGCAAACAG